GAUGAAGAACGCAGCAAAAUGCGAUAAGUAAUGUGAAUUGCAGAAUUCAGUGAAUCAUCGAAUCUUUGAACGCACAUUGCGCCCCUUGGUAUUCCGAGGGGCAUGCCUGUUCGAGCGUCAUUUCAACCCUCAAGCACAGCUUGGUCUUGGGCUUCGCCGCUAACCCGGCGGGUCUUAAAAUCAGUGGCGGUGCCGUCGGGCCCUGAGCGCAGUAAUCUCUCUCGCUAUAGGGUCCCGGCGGAUGCUGGCCAGUAACCCCCAAUUUUCUAUGGUUGACCUCGUAUCAGGUAGGGAUACCCGCUGAACUUAAGCAUAUCAAUAAGCGGAGGA
rnacentral:misc_RNA from 1 species